CAUAGGUUAAUGAGGCGAACCGGGGGAACUGAAACAUCUAAGUACCCCGAGGAAAAGAAAUCAACCGAGAUUCCCCCAGUAGCGGCGAGCGAACGGGGAGGAGCCCAGAGCCUGAAUCAGUGUGUGUGUUAGUGGAAGCGUCUGGAAAGGCGCGCGAUACAGGGUGACAGCCCCGUACACAAAAAUGCACAUGCUGUGAGCUCGAUGAGUAGGGCGGGACACGUGGUAUCCUGUCUGAAUAUGGGGGGACCAUCCUCCAAGGCUAAAUACUCCUGACUGACCGAUAGUGAACCAGUACCGUGAGGGAAAGGCGAAAAGAACCCCGGCGAGGGGAGUGAAAAAGAACCUGAAACCGUGUACGUACAAGCAGUGGGAGCCUCUUAAUGGGGUGACUGCGUACCUUUUGUAUAAUGGGUCAGCGACUUAUAUUCUGUAGCAAGGUUAACCGAAUAGGGGAGCCGAAGGGAAACCGAGUCUUAACUGGGCGUUAAGUUGCAGGGUAUAGACCCGAAACCCGGUGAUCUAGCCAUGGGCAGGUUGAAGGUUGGGUAACACUAACUGGAGGACCGAACCGACUAAUGUUGAAAAAUUAGCGGAUGACUUGUGGCUGGGGGUGAAAGGCCAAUCAAACCGGGAGAUAGCUGGUUCUCCCCGAAAGCUAUUUAGGUAGCGCCUCGUGAAUUCAUCUCCGGGGGUAGAGCACUGUUUCGGCAAGGGGGUCAUCCCGACUUACCAACCCGAUGCAAACUGCGAAUACCGGAGAAUGUUAUCACGGGAGACACACGGCGGGUGCUAACGUCCGUCGUGAAGAGGGAAACAACCCAGACCGCCAGCUAAGGUCCCAAAGUCAUGGUUAAGUGGGAAACGAUGUGGGAAGGCCCAGACAGCCAGGAUGUUGGCUUAGAAGCAGCCAUCAUUUAAAGAAAGCGUAAUAGCUCACUGGUCGAGUCGGCCUGCGCGGAAGAUGUAACGGGGCUAAACCAUGCACCGAAGCUGCGGCAGCGACACUAUGUGUUGUUGGGUAGGGGAGCGUUCUGUAAGCCUGUGAAGGUGGCCUGUGAGGGUUGCUGGAGGUAUCAGAAGUGCGAAUGCUGACAUAAGUAACGAUAAAGCGGGUGAAAAGCCCGCUCGCCGGAAGACCAAGGGUUCCUGUCCAACGUUAAUCGGGGCAGGGUGAGUCGACCCCUAAGGCGAGGCCGAAAGGCGUAGUCGAUGGGAAACAGGUUAAUAUUCCUGUACUUGGUGUUACUGCGAAGGGGGGACGGAGAAGGCUAUGUUGGCCGGGCGACGGUUGUCCCGGUUUAAGCGUGUAGGCUGGUUUUCCAGGCAAAUCCGGAAAACCAAGGCUGAGGCGUGAUGACGAGGCACUACGGUGCUGAAGUGACAAAUGCCCUGCUUCCAGGAAAAGCCUCUAAGCAUCAGGUAACAUCAAAUCGUACCCCAAACCGACACAGGUGGUCAGGUAGAGAAUACCAAGGCGCUUGAGAGAACUCGGGUGAAGGAACUAGGCAAAAUGGUGCCGUAACUUCGGGAGAAGGCACGCUGAUAUGUAGGUGAAGCGACUUGCUCGUGGAGCUGAAAUCAGUCGAAGAUACCAGCUGGCUGCAACUGUUUAUUAAAAACACAGCACUGUGCAAACACGAAAGUGGACGUAUACGGUGUGACGCCUGCCCGGUGCCGGAAGGUUAAUUGAUGGGGUUAGCGGUAACGCGAAGCUCUUGAUCGAAGCCCCGGUAAACGGCGGCCGUAACUAUAACGGUCCUAAGGUAGCGAAAUUCCUUGUCGGGUAAGUUCCGACCUGCACGAAUGGCGUAAUGAUGGCCAGGCUGUCUCCACCCGAGACUCAGUGAAAUUGAACUCGCUGUGAAGAUGCAGUGUACCCGCGGCAAGACGGAAAGACCCCGUGAACCUUUACUAUAGCUUGACACUGAACAUUGAGCCUUGAUGUGUAGGAUAGGUGGGAGGCUUUGAAGUGUGGACGCCAGUCUGCAUGGAGCCGACCUUGAAAUACCACCCUUUAAUGUUUGAUGUUCUAACGUUGGCCCCUAAUCGGGGUUGCGGACAGUGUCUGGUGGGUAGUUUGACUGGGGCGGUCUCCUCCUAAAGAGUAACGGAGGAGCACGAAGGUUGGCUAAUCCUGGUCGGACAUCAGGAGGUUAGUGCAAUGGCAUAAGCCAGCUUGACUGCGAGCGUGACGGCGCGAGCAGGUGCGAAAGCAGGUCAUAGUGAUCCGGUGGUUCUGAAUGGAAGGGCCAUCGCUCAACGGAUAAAAGGUACUCCGGGGAUAACAGGCUGAUACCGCCCAAGAGUUCAUAUCGACGGCGGUGUUUGGCACCUCGAUGUCGGCUCAUCACAUCCUGGGGCUGAAGUAGGUCCCAAGGGUAUGGCUGUUCGCCAUUUAAAGUGGUACGCGAGCUGGGUUUAGAACGUCGUGAGACAGUUCGGUCCCUAUCU
rnacentral:rRNA from 1 species